UGAGACCUCAGGUCAGGCGGGGCUACCCGCUUAGUUUAAGCAUAUCAAUAAGCGGAGGAAAAGAAACUAACAAGGAUUCCCUUAGUAACGGCGAGCGAACCGGGAAGAGCCCACCAUGAGAAUCGGUCGCCCUUGGCGUCUGAAUUGUAAUCUGGAGAAGCGUCCUCAGUGGCGGACCGGGCCCAAGUCCCCUGGAAGGGGGCGCCAAAUAGGGUGAGAGCCCCGUUGUGCCCUGACCCUGUCGCACCACGAGGCGCUGUNGGCGAGUCGUGUUUGUUUGGA
rnacentral:rRNA from 1 species